CUCAAUGCAAUUUUGAAUACAUGUCAGGAACACCUGAUUUAAACCCCCUCAUCCAUCACUCAUUCAGUGUUGCCUGUUGGAUAUGGAGGAAAUCUACACCACAAAGUGGAAUAUUGUAAAGGCACUCUUCAGUACACAUAAAAUAGAGCACGGUGAAUAAUAUAGAUUAGUUGCUGCUAUCUUCUUAACAUGAUUUUGAAUUUAUAAAUAGUAGUAGAGUAAAUGUCUGGAAUGCCUGACUUAAACCCCCUCAUCCAUCACUAAUUUCGAAUAAAUGUAUAGAUGCUGCAUUGAAUUCAUGAAGAUAUCAUUCGUUUUGAGCAAUCAUUCCCUUAGCUCCCCCGUUCUUUGAUUGUUUCAAAGAAGUAGUCAAACUACAAUAUGUAUUGUUUAGUUACAUCUAUUGCCAAGUUAUUUAAGCCAUUUCAUCUCUAGUAGAUUCAAAUAAUUUCUGUAAUUCUGAAUUAUGUUGCUGAACAAACUUGACAAUCACCAUUAGAAAGAAGGUGACAUGUUUAUGGACCCAGAACUAGCUAAGACAGUUCUCUGUGUACAUGCGGAUCACUUCAAGAAUCUUCUUGAUGAAAGAAGCUUGUGUGGUUUGUUAAAAGACUUCAAUCCGCUCACAGCCAUGCAGAUUAAGAAGAAUUUAGAUCGACAUUAUUUUAAUAAUAAUGAAAACUCAAAUGCUUGGAACGAAAUGAGUGGAGUUGAACGACGCCCUGUUUAUCGAAACUACAUCAAUCAACUUUUCAACUAUGCAGGGUUUCAAAAUGUACAAGGCAUCAUAUCAAAGAUUGCAUAUGCCCGAAAGAAGGACAAAUCCAAUUUGGCUCUCUGGAUGUAUGGAAAGCUCUCAACCUUCCAGAAAAGGACUGUUCAAAGGAACACUUAAAUCCCUCCGACAGACAAAGAUAACCUCUCUAGGCCCUCUGGUGGUGACGUAUAAGUGCUUUCUCAGUACUUUCUCUCGCUUUUGGACAAAUCCAAGUGCUGUAUCUGUACCCGAAUAGAAAUAAAGGAUUUUAAUGGAACAGUUUUCUUCCGCUCUGAAAGUGAACGAAUGACAAAACAGUCUAGAAAAUUCCUCGCCCUGCUGCAGAAGAUCAAUCCUGGGUUGUGCUCACCAAAGCAAACCUCUUUUUUGUGUAUUCAGUGUCUUAACUAUGUAAAAGACAACUAUAACAGGGUGUACAGUGCUGUUUCUGAAAUUGACGAAUCCUCUUGUGAUGAAGAUUGAAGAAGCUAUUGCCAUCCAAGUGGAAAAAGUCCCGCCUUUGUCACCCUCCUCGAAUAGAACUAAGAAAAUGUGGAGACUUUCUUCAUUUAGUUCCCAAUCAAGUGGACCAGAUGUUGAUUUGUUUGAAAUGGACUGAGACUUGUGUUUCAUAUGCCAGGUUGAACAGACGUUAGAAACGAAAAAGGAUAGUCUGAUUCAAGGAAAAGAUAAAAGUUUCUUCGUCGAUUUCGCAACAUACUAUCUGUGGACAUCUACAGAAAUCGUCAGGAUCUGUGCAACAUCGAUGUUAAUCCUGAUUCGCACAUGACCAAGUGCCCUGUUCUUAACCCUGAGAGUCUCGGAAAAUAUCUCUAUAGCAAGCUAGGUAGAUAUCACAAAACAUGUCGUUUGAGGUACAGCAACUCGAGGGUGAAACAAUUGAAGGGUAAAUUAUCUGAAGCUGUAAGUUUAAAACCUGUCUUUAAGGCAGGUUUUAAAAUGGAAAGACACGUGUCCACGCACGACAACACCAAUGCUGCAUUAAUGAGUGCAGGUAUUGACGCUGUACGGACCUUUUAACUGGAGCAGGAGAAUGUUUUACCAGAACUGUACCUCGUGUCUGACCCGAAGCUUAAGUACAAUGACUAUGUGACGUCUAAUUUAUCUGAGAACGCUGCAAACUCCAGCAAUGUUUAAUCUGAUCACAUCAGUUUUCAGAAAGACAAUGUCGGUAAGACGAGUUUGUUUCGACAGCAGGAUCGUAUCUAAUCUUGCCGCAACAAUAGAUGCGGAUAGAGAUGAUAACACUUUAACAAAGACAGCACUCAUAAAGGAGAUUAGAAAAGAAAUCUUUCAAUGUAGAAACGAAUUCUAUCAGCUAUGUUUGAUUUACUGAUCGGUGGCAUCUGUAGAAAUAUAGUGUUUAUGUGGAUUAAUCUGUUAAAGCAGGGCUAUUGUAUCAUUUUAACAUUAACUUUGCAUAGUGA